GACCCGCGGACUUAGCAUAUCAAUAAGCGGAGGAAAAGAAACUAACAAGGAUUCCCCUAGUAACUGCGAGUGAAGCGGGAAAAGCUCAAAUUUGAAAUCUGGCAGCUUUUUUAGCUGUCCGAGUUGUAAUCUAGAGAAGCGUUACCUGUGCAGGACCAUGUACAAGUCUUCUGGAAUGGAGCAUCAUAGAGGGUGAGAAUCCCGUCUUUGACAUGGACUGCCUGUGCAUUGUGGUACGCUCUCAAAGAGUCGAGUUGUUUGGGAAUGCAGCUCAAAAUGGGUGGUAAAUGCCAUCUAAAGCUAAAUAUUGGCGAGAGACCGAUAGCGAACAAGUACCGUGAGGGAAAGAUGAAAAGAACUUUGGAAAGAGAGUUAAACAGUACGUGAAAUUGCUGAAAGGGAAACGCUUGAAGUCAGUCACAUUGGCUAGAAAUCAGCCUUGCUUUUGCUCGGUGCAUUGUCUGGUCAAUGGGUCAGCAUCAAUUUUGAUCGCUGGAUAAAGGCUUUGGGAAUGUGGCAUCUUUUGGAUGUGUUAUAGCCCAUUGUUGCAUACAGCGGUUGAGAUUGAGGAACUCAGCAUGCCACAAGGCCGGGUUUCGACCACGUUCAUGCUUAGGAUGCUGGCAUAAUGGCUUUAAUCGACCCGUCUUGAAACACGGACCAAGGAGUCUAACAUGCCUGCGAGUGUUUGGGUGGAAAACCCAUGCGCGUAAUGAAAGUGAAAGUUGAGAUCCCUCCCUCGGGGAGUGAGCAUUGACGCCCAGACCAGACCUUUUGUGACGGAUCUGCGGUAGAGCAUGUAUGUUGGGACCCGAAAGAUGGUGAACUAUGCCUGAAUAGGGUGAAGCCAGAGGAAACUCUGGUGGAGGCUCGUAGCGAUUCUGACGUGCAAAUCGAUCGUCAAAUUUGGGUAUAGGGGCGAAAGACUAAUCGAACCAUCUAGUAGCUGGUCCUGCGUCU
rnacentral:rRNA from 1 species